GAUACGGCCAUAUCUACUGAAAACCACCGGAACCCAUCAGAACUCCAAAGUUAAACCAGUAUGAGCUUAAUCAGUACUAAGAAGGGAGA
rnacentral:rRNA from 1 species